CGCCUGGGGAGUGCGGCCGCAAGGUUAAAACUCAAUGAAUUGACGGGGGCCCGCACAAGCGGUGGAGCAUGUGGUUUAAUUCGACGCAACGCGAAGAACCUUACCUGGCCUUGACAUCCAGAGAACUUUCCAGAGAUGGAUUGGUGCCUUCGGGAACUCUGAGACAGGUGCUGCAUGGCCGUCGUCAGCUCGUGUCGUGAGAUGUUGGGUUAAGUCCCGUAACGAGCGCAACCCCUAUCCCUGGUUGCUAGCAGGUAAUGCUGAGAACUCCAGGGAGACUGCCGGUGACAAACCGGAGGAAGGUGGGGAUGACGUCAGGUCAUCAUGGCCCUUACGGCCAGGGCUACACACGUGCUACAAUGGCGCGUACAGAGGGCUGCCAACUCGCGAGAGUGAGCCAAUCCCUUAAACGCGUCGUAGUCCGGAUCGGAGUCUGCAACUCGACUCCGUGAAGUCGGAAUCGCUAGUAAUCGCGAAUCAGAAUGUCGCGGUGAAUACGUUCCCGGGCCUUGUACACACCGCCCGUCACACCAUGGGAGUGGAUUGCACCAGAAGUAGUUAGUCUAACCUUCGGGAGGACGAUUACCACGGUGUGGUUCAUGACUGGGGUGAAGUCGUAACAAGGUAACCGUA
rnacentral:rRNA from 1 species